rnacentral:rRNA from 1 species
UACGUAGGGCGCAAGCGUUGUCCGGAAUUAUUGGGCGUAAAGAGCUCGUAGGCGGUCUGUUACGUCCGCUGUGAAAACCCAGGGCUUAACCCUGGGCUUGCAGUGGAUACGGGCAGACUAGAGGCAGGUAGGGGAGAACGGAAUUCCUGGUGUAGCGGUGAAAUGCGCAGAUAUCAGGAGGAACACCGGUGGCGAAGGCGGGUCUCUGGGCCGAUAUUGACGCUGAGGAGCGAAAGCGUGGGGAGCGAACAGG